rnacentral:rRNA from 1 species
AUGCUUGGUUGUCAAACUUCUCAUACCCCUGUUGAUACAGGUUCCAAACUCUCUGCCGACGGUGAUCCUUUCUCUGAUCCUUCUCUUUAUCGUAGUCUUACCGGUGCACUUCAGUAUCUUACUCUCACUCGUCCUGAAAUUUCUUUUGCUGUCCAAAAAGCUUGUUUAUACAUGCAUGAUCCUCGUAUUCCACACUACAAUCAUGUCAAAUAUAUUCUUCGAUAUCUCAAAGGCACACUAGACUUAGGUCUUCAUAUCAACAAAUCCUCUCCCACCUCCUUGACAGCUUACUCUAAUGCAGACUGGGCUGGUUGUCCAGAUACUCAUAGGUCCACAUCAGGAUUUUGUGUUUUUCUUGGUAACAAUUUGGUUUCUUGGUCUUCAAAAAGGCAGGUUAUGGUCUCCCGCUCGUCUGCUGAAGCUGAGUACCGCGCUGUGGCUCAUGCGGUUGCUGAAAUGGUUUGGUUGCGCCAGUUGCUGUCGGAGCUGCACCGUCCUAUUGAGCAAGCUACCAUUGUUUACUGUGAUAAUAUUGCAGCUGUCUACAUGUUAGGGAAUCCGGUUCAACACCGUCGCACCAAGCAUACUGAGAUCGACAUUCAUUUUGUUCGAGAGAAGGUGGCUCUCGGUCAAGUUCGCGUUCUCCACGUGCCUACUUCUGCUCAGUUCGCUGAUAUCUUUACUAAAGGCCUGGCGACUACUCCGUUUCAAGACAUUCGUUUCAGUCUCAACGUCGUCGAGCCUACCGUCGACACUGCGGGGGAUGUUAGAAUACAACUUGUAAUAGGAUUAGGACUCCUACUCGGUUUGUAA